rnacentral:lncRNA from 1 species
AAUUUGAGUACAUAGAAGAGAACUUGUCCAAUAAGAGUCCUGCGCUUCUCAAGUAUAAUCCAGUUCACAAGAAAAUCCCUGUGCUUGUACACAAUGGAAAGCCGGUUGCAGAGUCACUUGUCAUCCUGGAGUACAUUGAUGAGACCUGGAAACAUAAUCCCAUCUUGCCUACAGACCCUUAUGAGAAGGCCAUGGCACGGUUCUGGGCUAAGUACAUGGAUGACAAGGUAAACCCGAUACUAUAUUCCCUUUUUAAAAAAAAAAAAUUCAUUUGGAUCCUGACUACUAUUCAUUAUGCAGCUCUGGCCGGCAGCAACAAAGGUCGUGGUGAGUAAGGGAGAGGAGCAAAAGGCAGUGAUUGAAGAAAUCCAGGAGCAGCUGAAAACUCUAGAGAGUGAACUGAAAGAGAAGAAAUUCUUUGGAGGGGAGAGUUUGGGAUUUGUAGACAUAGCUGCAAACAUUAUAGUUUUUCUUCUUGUUGCCCAAGAAGCUCUGGGAUUAAUGGAGAUCCUGACCGAAGAGAAGUUUCCUGUUUUGCAUGAAUGGUAUCAAAGGCUUGUCGAUGAUGCUGUUUUCAAGGAAUGUGUGCCACCAAGGGAGCGACAUCUUGGCUUCUUCAAAGCUCGGUUUGGAUCCUCGACGGCUUCCAAAUGAAGAGUUGGUUUAUGUCUGUGCAUGAGUUGAUAGGGGAGGAACCUUGCUAGUUGCUUCUCAUAUAUGUGUUUCAGUUAUGUACUUUGAAGUUGUGUCAUGGACUUUACCCUGUUUCUGGGGAUGACAACUUAAAAAAUAAAUUGGAGUAGUAUUCUAUGUUCAUCUAAAUAAAAUUAAUCAUAUUGUUUCAUUAAGAGUGACAGAGAUUUAAAAUAUGUAUAUAUAUAUAUAUAUAUAUAUAUAUAUAUAUAUAUAUUAAAAAGACGUUGUAAUUUAUUUAUAAAAUAAUUAAAAAAAUAUUUUUAGAAUAUUAUUUUAAUUAGAAAUGAAAAACAGAAUGUUUUUGUUUACUUGUGGGCGUUUGAGCAAGGAAAAAGAUUUGACUUAUAGGUGAUGAUUCUAGAUUAGUUGAAAUACGGCUUUUCACUAUUUGAGGAAAAGAAAAUUGGCUUUUGGCUUGAAGGGUAAUUUUGAAAUUACAGGGAUACUAUUAUUAAAAAUUUAUUAUUUUAUUUAAAAAAAUGUAUGCUCCCUAUGAUACUUUUAAGAAAUACAAUUAAAUUUUAAAAUUAUCGUUUUGAUGUUUUUGAUGUGAUAAUAAGUUUUGUAAAUUUAGAAAUAAUUUCACAAAUUUUAAAUUUAAAUAAAUUGUAAUAAAGUGUUAAUAAAAUAUGAAUAAAUAAAUAAAACAAUUUUAUUUUACUCUUUGGUGUAUAAUAUUUUUGUACCCACAACUUUAGUGAAUUUGCAAAACAAUAAGAAAAUAUGUGAAACAAAAUAUUUUUUAUUAAAAUAUAAUAAUUGUGAGAAUACCAUAUUGGUAAUAAUUCUUUUAUAAAAUAAUAUUUUCUUAUCCUUCUUUCACUUUGAACACACUCCAAAAGGAAGGAAAAUAUUUUUUUAGUUUUGAAAGCUAAUUGAGGGCUUAAUUCGGGAAAGGUGAAAAACAUUUUUUUUUUUUUUCUUAUUUCUUGAAAUUUUUCUUCUUUAUGAAAUUUUUGUUUCAAAUCUAUGAAAAACAUAUCUAUUACUCUUUUACUAUUUCUUGAAAAUUUUCUUAUUUAUGAAUUUCUAUGUGGAGUCGAUCUUCCUUUCAUUAAAGGAAGUCGCCCUAUUAUCCAUAGAAUUAAGAAAUAAAAAAUUUGAAAUUCUUCAAGAUUUAGUUGUUUAAUUUAAAGAAUUUGUUUCAUUAAUUUUAACAACUUAUCUUCUUUAUUAAGGAAAUUUGCUAACAAAAAAAUAUUUAUUUUUAAUUCUCUUUUAAAUUUUGCAAUCUUUCAAAAUUUGUCACAUAUAUUAUUUAUCGAGUUCAAAUUUUGUUGAAUUGGGAAAUCACAAUUUUGAAAACCAAUUUAAUGAUAAUUUAAUUAAUUAAAAGUGUUGAUGUCUAUAAUUUCUUCUUAAUAAUUAAAUAUUUUAAUUUUAUUAUUUAUUAAAAUAAAAAAUCUUAAUAUAUUUAUAUUUUAUUUUUAUUAUGAUUUUAAAUAUAUAUUUUUUAAAUUUUAAUAAUGCUCAAAUAACCAUAUUUACCCAAAAUAUCGAUAAUUACGAAUAUAUCAAUACUUUAAUUAUAUUUAGAAAUAUCAGAGUUGAUAUUUUUUUACAAAUAUCAAUGGAGCGAAAAUUAUUUAAAAUUCACUAACAUCCUUGAAAAAACUAAAAAAAAAAUGAUAAAAUAAGCAAAAAUACACAUUUUUAAGUUUUUUUAAAGUAUAAUUGAUAUACAUAUUAUAAAAAAGAAAAACAUCGAUAGAUAGAAAUAUAUCAGUAGAUUUGAUAUUUGAAUUUUAAGAAUAAUAAAUAUGAAUUUUGGAAGUAUAUAAAGUUAGAAUUGAGUUAAAAAAUAUUUGAUUUUAUUGAAUAAAAAUAAUUUAUACAUAAAUAUAAUACAUAUGAUAUUGUAAUAGUCUUUAGUAUCAAAAUGAAUGGGGAUCUUGUUGAAAAUAAUAUUUAUUUAAAAAAAAUUUAAAUACUUUUAUUAAAACAUGUUUAAUUACAUUUUAAAUAAAAAAUUAAAUUAUUUUAUAUAAAAUAUUUUAUUUAAGAUUUAAUUUCUAAAAUUUUAUUAAAAAUAUGUGAUAACAACUUUUUCUAUUAAUAUUAAUUUAUUUAAAUAAUUAAAAUUAUUAAUAAUUUAUCUUAUCAAAUUAAUUUUAAUUUAUAAAAUAUUAAAACUUUCUUAACUUUCUUAAAUUUUUAUAUUAUAGCAAUUUUUUUGGGUAAAUUUAUAUUUUUAAUAUUUUAAAAUAAAAACAUUUAAAAUUAAAUAAAAUUGAAAGGAUGAAUAAAAAAAAUUUAAGAGUGAAGUGAUAAUAAUUUUUUAAAAUAAGAUUAAUGAGAUAAAUAUGAAAAAUGUUAAAAAUAAAAUUAUAAUACAAAAUAAAAUGAUAAUAUAAAAACAUAUAUGAAAUUUGGGCGAUUGAAUCGUCAAAAAUUCAAAUAUGAGAAUUUUCAAAAUUUUCAAAAAAGUGGUAGAAGGGGCAAUUUUUUUACGUUCUCCAUCUGCUCCGCGUGUCGCUUCGAGAAAUACCAAAAUAUUGGCGAUAGUUUCGAAAAAUUUCCGUGACGAAUAUUGUGUCGGAGCCGGCCGAUAAACGAUAUUUUCCCGAAAUUUUCCGACAUUUCAAUCCUUGCAAUUUAGCCCACUUAAAUAAUGCAAAGAGAUAAGAUUCCAAGGGAAAUAUCAAAUAUCACAUCACCGACAGCGAUAAGUGCCGUCUUCAAAGUCUUCAUUGUCUGGAUGCGUAGGCCAUGCCUCAAUGGACACGCAUUGGCUGAUGUCUACCACUUUGUCAGGCCCUCACCAGAUACAUUAUUGGUUCCCAAUCAUCCAUCCGAUCACACUCCAAACUAAAAUCUCGACAAAUCCAAGGGCCAGCACCGCGCCUGGUUUAUCAAGAAAACCUCUAUAGAUAAGAAGAGGGCAUACCAGUGGCAGCCUGAUCUCUUCAAGCUGCAACAAUGGCUGAAGAAGUGAAGCUGUUUGGCAUGUGGGCAAGCCCUUUUAGCCGCAGAAUUGAAGUGGCCCUCAAGCUGAAAGGGAUUCAGUAUGAGUAUAUAGAAGAGGACUUGUCCAACAAGAGUCCUUCGCUUCUCAAGUAUAACCCAGUCCAUAAGAAAAUCCCUGUGCUUUUGCAUAAGGGAAAGCCAGUUGCAGAGUCACUUGUAAUCCUGGAGUACAUUGAUGAGACCUGGAAACACAACCCCAUCUUGCCUGCAGACCCUUAUGAGAGGGCCAUGGCACGGUUCUGGGCUAAGUUCUUAGAUGAGAAGGUAAACCCAUUACUAUUUUUUUUUCCUUUUUUAUUUUAAAUUCACUUGGGUCCUGACUACUGUACAAUAUUAUGCAGCUCUGGCCGGCAGCAAAAAAGGUUGCGUUGAGUAAGGGAGAGGAGCAUAAUGGACUGAUUGAAGAAAUCCAGGAGCAUCUGAAAACUCUAGAGAGUGAGCUGAAAGAGAAGAAAUUCUUUGGAGGGGAGAGUUUGGGAUUUGUAGACAUAGCUGCAGACAUUAUAUUUUGGCUGCUUGUUGUCCAAGAAACUCUGGGACUCGAUAUCCUAACCGAAGAUAAGUUUCCCGGAUUGCAUGAAUGGUAUCAUAGGCUUCUUGAUGAUGCUGUUUUCAAGGAAUGUGUGUCAAUGGAGCGACUUCUUGCCUCUUUCAAAGUUCGGUUUGGAGCCUUGACUGCUUCCAAAUGAAGAGCGGGUUUAUUUGUGGAUGACUUCAUGGGAGAGGAAUCUUUCUUCUUGCACAUGUAUUUCAUAGUUAUGCAUUAUGAAGUAUUGUAAUGAACCUUGUCCUGUUUGUGGGAAUGAGAACUUAAAAAUAAGUUUGGAGAAGUAUUGCUCCAAAUGGCCUUAGGAAGAAGACUCAAACAUUGCCUCCUAAUUAAUAGGAAUUGAAUAUCCUAUGUUCAUCUACCUCUUGGUUAGAUUGAAUAAAGAUUUGGAUAUAGAAAUCCUUAUGACUGAGUCAUGGUUUGGUUCGGGGUUUAGUUCAGAGAUGAGAAUGUAAGUGGUAUGGGUAACAUUCAGCCUCAACUCCAUUCCUUUUAAGGUUUUCGAUUGGGUUUUCAUCCUCCCAUCAACGAAUGUAAAUCAAAUCUAAAAGUCAUUAUUUGAGGAAUUAUUUGGGUAAAUAAUCCCGACAGUCCAAUCAUCUCUCCCCAGCAUGAUGCUCCCCCAACAUUAUUGAAAUAUGUUUAACAUUUAUUAAAUGUUUAGUGAUGAAUUGGAGUGUGACAAUGAUGCUCUUUCCAAUAAAUAUUUCUCAAAAUUACCAUUUUUUUUUCAAAAAUCCUCCACCAACCCAUUAUAAAUGUAAGUAAUCAUACUAAAAUAAUAAUGCUAAUACAAUUGAAAUAAAAAAUAAAAUAUGAAUAAAUAAGUAACACAAUUUUAUUUUACUCUUUAGUCUAUAAUCUUUCUUCUUAAUAAUUAAAUAUUAUAAAUUUAUUAUUUAUUAAAAUAAAAAAUCUAAUAUAUUUAUAUUUUAUUUUUAUUGUGAUUUUAUAAUUCUUUUAAUUUUAGUAAUAUAUAAAUUAUAUAUUUAUAUUGUACAGUCAGUCACCUCGAUCCCACAUUUCAAGCAUAAACCAAUUAUUUAAAACAUAAUAUUGUUGGAUCAAAACAUCAAUUUUGAUCCAAAAUUCCUUUCUCCGAGAUUAACUGCCCAUGUGAAUGAUCUAAAGCGGUCAGGGAUAUAUCACGUGACCCAAAAAACGACAAAGGAAGGGACAGUGUCGACGGACAGUGCGGUGGCUCCUCUGCCAAAAAGUUGGUCACAGACUUUAAAAGGUAAGUUUUGGGGUAAAAUAACCCUUUUACAACAAAAAAAAACAAAAGAAUUUGGGAAACUGUGUUUUGACGGGCCAUUUGAAAAAUAUCUUAUUUUUGGAAUCCAAUUUUAUAAAAUAUGAUAACCAGAUUUUAAUAUGAAAAGUAAUAUUGCUUUUAUGCACUUUGACCUGGCUCCAUUUUUUUUGUCAAGAUUGCCCUCUGACGGCAAUGACCUCGACGGCAAUGGCUUUUGGCUUAGGUUUUUCGGUGUCGGAGGGGGCUUCCUUUUCGACUUUUUUCUUCAUGCUAGAGUGAGGAGUGAGGAGUGAGGAAGACGAAAGUGUCCUUGCCGUCGUUGUUGCUCCGGUGGAGGAAGUCGCAAAACUUCCACCGUUUUGAUGAUCAUGUGGAGUUGCUUUUCCUGCACCUUCCCGAUGGAGACUUCGCUACCUUGGGUUUCCACACACAGUACAUCCUCGACAGCACUCCCUCGAGCUCGUCGACCUCUGAUGACAAGGACACUCCAGGUCCAUUGCAGAUAAAAAAAAUAGGUUAUAGUGGUGACGAUGACAAUGGACUGAGUUGCGGCGACAAUAACCUUGACACAUCCAGAUUUUUCUCAAAUAUGAAAUAGAAUUUCAAUUGAAAAAUAUGCUUUUGAUAGAGGAGAGAGGAACGGCUUCGGAGGCCGACGAGCUCGAGGGAGUGCUAUCGGGGAUGUACUGUGUGUGGAAACCCAAGGCGGCGAAGUCUCCACCAAGAAGGUGCAGGAAAAACAACUCCACGGGAUCAUCGAAACGGUGGAAGUUCCGCAACUUUCUCCAUCGGAGCAACAGCGACGACAAGGACACUUUCGUCUUCCUCACUCCUCACUCCAGCAUGAAGAAAAAAGCCGAAAAGGAAGUCCCCUUGGGCGCUGAAAAACCUAAGUCAAAAGCCAUUACCGCCAAGGUCAUUGCCGCCGAAGGGCAUUCUUAGCACAAAAAAUGGAGCCAGCUCAAAGUGCAUAAAAGCAAUAUUACUUUCCAUAUUAAAAUUUGGUUCUCAUAUUUUAUAAAAUUGGGUUAUGAAAAUCAGAUAUUUUCCAAAUAGCCCCAUCAAAACACAAGUUUCCCAAAAAAAAUUAUAUAUAAGGUUAAGCCUUUUUACAAAAUUCAUGAUUUUAUUUUAAUUUUUUAAAAUUUAAGUUGAAACCUUGAUUAGAUUUCAGUUUUGGAUUGAAGCCGCAAUUAACAAUUAAGACUUCGUUUUUUAACUGAAGUUGUAAUUAGCAAUUGAUGCUUCAAUUUUUUUUCUUACUUUAAAAUUUAAUUUAAAAAUAUUAAAUUAAAAAUUAUUAUUAAAAUUAAAAAUAUAUAAUUUAAUAAUAAGAAAUUUAUAUACUUAAACUUAAAGAUUUAGUAUUACUUUAAUAAAGAUAAAUUGAUAAAUAUAAUAAUAAAUAAAUAUUUUAUUUAUCAAUAAAUUAAUAAUUUUAAAAUAAUAAAGUUAUAUGAGACAUAAAUAAUGUAUAAAUUUAUAUAAUUUAUUAAUUUAAUAUAUUAAAUUUAUUAUAUUUUUAAAAUAUAAAAUGAUAUAAUCUAUUAAUUUAAAUUACAUCACGUGUAGUACCUACUAAAAUCAUAGAGGGACAUUUUUUUCCAUUAUAUAUGAAAUAUUAAGAUUAUAUUAUUAUUUUAAUAAAGAUUAAUUUGUCAAAAUACAAAUAAAUUAAUAUCUUAAAAAUACAACAAAUUAAAUAUCUUAAAUUAAUAAAUUAUAUAAUUUAUAUCUUAUUUAUAUAUUAUAUAAUUUUAUUAUUUUAAGAUUAUUAAUUUAUUGAUAAAUAAAAUAUUUAUUUAUUAUUAUAUUUAACAAUUUAUAUAUUAGAUUGUUAUAUUUAAAUAUAUAACUUUUUUUUAUUAUUAAGUAUAUACUUUUAAUUUCAAUAAUAAUUUAUAAUUUAAUAUUUUUAAUUAAAAUUUAAAGUAAAAAAAAUUAACUGAAACCUUUAUUGAAAAUUGAGAUCUUAGUUAAAAAAUGAAAUCACAAUUAUCAAUUGUAACUUUAAUUUAAAAAUGAAAUCUCAAUUAACAAUUGAAAUUUCAACUUCAAAAUGAAGCCUCAAUUGAUAAUUGAAGUUUCAGUUUCAAAAUGAUGUCUCAGUUACUAAUUACUUUUUAAAAAUAAAGUAUCAUUUAACAAUUGAAACUUUAAUUUAAAUUUUGAUUAAAUAAAAUAAAAUAAAAUUAUGAUAUAUCUCUUAGUGAUGAUAAAAAGAUUAAUUUGAUCAUAAAGUUUUGCGGACGGGAUACACUAACAUUUCCUUUUAUAAAAGGGUUAUUUUGCACCCCCAAACUCUCAAAAGGCAUUGGCUGACGUCACCAAGUACAUUAUUGGGAUCCCAACCAGCCAUCCUAUCACACUCCACAUUAAAAUCUCCACAAAUCCAAGGUCCAGGACGGCACCUGGUUAAUCAAGAUUCAAGAUCAAGAAAACCACUAUAAAUAAGAAGAGAGCAUACCAAUGGCAGCCACAUCUCUUCAAUCAGCAACAAUGGCUGAAGAAGUGAAGCUUUUUGGCACGUGGGCAAGCCCCUUUAGCCGCAGAAUUGAAGUGGCCCUGAAGCUGAAAGGAGUUCAAUUUGAACAUAGCAGAGAACUUGUCCAGUAAGAGUCCUGCGCUUCUCACGUAUAAUCCAGUUCACAAGAAAAUCCCUGUGCUUGUACACAAUGGAAAGCCGGUUGCAGAGUCACUUGUCAUCCUGGAGUACAUUGAUGAGACCUGGAAACAUAAUCCCAUCUUGCCUACAGACCCUUAUGAGAAGGCCAUGGCACGGUUCUGGGCUAAG